rnacentral:rRNA from 1 species
GACAGAGGGUGCAAACGUUGCCCGGAAUUACUGGGCGUAAAGCGCGUGUAGGCGGCCUGGUGUGUCAGAUGUGAAAUCCCUGGGCUCAACCCAGGAACUGCACCUGAAACUACCAGCCUUGAGUGGUGGAGAGGGGAGUGGAAUUCCUGGUGUAGAGGUGAAAUUCGUAGAUAUCAGGAGGAACACCAGUGGCGAAGGCGGCUUCCUGGACACCAACUGACGCUGAGACGCGAAAGCGUGGGGAGCAAACAGG